GAUGAAGAACGCAGCAAAAUGCGAUAAGUAAUGUGAAUUGCAGAAUUCAGUGAAUCAUCGAAUCUUUGAACGCACAUUGUGCCCGCCAGUAUUCUGGCGAGCAUGCCUGUUCGAGCGUCAUUUCAACCAUCAAGCCCCAGGCUUGUGUUGGAGCCCUGCGGCUGCCGCAGCCUCCCAAAACCAGUGGCGGGCUCGCUAUCACACCGAGUGCAGUAGUUUACUCUUCGCUCAGGGCGUGUGGCGGGUGCUAGCCGUGAAACCCCCAACUUCUCAAGGUUGACCUCGGAUCAGGUAGGAAUACCCGCUGAACUUAAGCAUAUCAAUAAGCGGAGGA
rnacentral:misc_RNA from 1 species